rnacentral:rRNA from 1 species
GACGAACGCUGGCGGCGUGCCUAAUACAUGCAAGUAGAACGCUGAAGGAGGAGCUUACUUCUCUGGAUGAGUUGCGAACGGGUGAGUAACGCGUAGGUAACCUGCCUGGUAGCGGGGGAUAACUAUUGGAAACGAUAGCUAAUACCGCAUAAGAGUAGAUGUUGCAUGACAUUUACUUAAAAGGUGCAAUUGCACCACUACCAGAUGGACCUGCGUUGUAUUAGCUAGUUGGGGGGGUAACGGCUUACCAAGGCGACGAUACAUAGCCGACCUGAGAGGCUGAUGGGCCACACGGGGACUGAGACACGGCCCAGACUCCUACGGGAGGCAGCAGUGGGGGAUCUUCGGCAAUGGACGGAAGUCUGACCGAGCAACGCCGCGUGAGUGAAGAAGGUUUUCGGAUCGUAAAGCUCUGUUGUAAGAGAAGAUCGAGUGUGAGAGUGGAAAGUUCACACUGUGACGGUAUCUUACCAGAAAGGGACGGCUAACUACGUGCCAGCCGCCGCAGUAA